rnacentral:miRNA from 1 species
GCGUUGUCUCGUAGAGGUCCAG